rnacentral:rRNA from 1 species
AUUGAACGCUGGCGGCAGGCCUAACACAUGCAAGUCGAGCGGAUGAAGGGAGCUUGCUCCUGGAUUCAGCGGCGGACGGGUGAGUAAUGCCUAGGAAUCUGCCUGGUAGUGGGGUAUAACGUCCGGAAACGGGCGCUAAUACCGCAUACGUCCUGAGGGAGAAAGUGGGGGAUCUUCGGACCUCACGCUAUCAGAUGAGCCUAGGUCGGAUUAGCUAGUUGGUGGGGUAAAGGCCUACCAAGGCGACGAUCCGUAACUGGUCUGAGAGGAUGAUCAGUCACACUGGAACUGAGACACGGUCCAGACUCCUACGGGAGGCAGCAGUGGGGAAUAUUGGACAAUGGGCGAAAGCCUGAUGCAGCCAUGCCGCGUGUGUGAAGAAGGUCUUCGGAUUGUAAAGCACUUUAAGUUGGGAGGAAGGGCAGUAAGUUAAUACCUUGCUGUUUUGACGUUACCAACAGAAUAAGCACCGGCUAACUUCGUG